UACAGAGGGGGCAAGCGUUAUUCGGAAUUAUUGGGCGUAAAGGGCGCGUAGGCGGCCUUGUAAGUCUUGGGUGAAAUCCCUCAGCUCAACUGAGGAACUGCCUCGGAUACUGCAGGGCUUGAGGCCGGGAGAGGGUAGUGGAAUUCCCAGUGUAGCGGUGAAAUGCGUAGAUAUUGGGAGGAACACCGAUGGCGAAGGCGGCCGGCUGGGCUGUACCUGACGCUGAGGCGCGAAAGCGUGGGGAGCGAACCGG
rnacentral:rRNA from 1 species